UGUGCCUGCAACAUUAAGACAAAUAUUUGACCUAUUUUCUUAGUAGAAUUUAGCUGUCAUCGUUCUUAGCACCACGCUCCUGUGAGCCAGCAACUGCCUAAGGACUCAGACAACAUGAGCACAGAAUUCUCCGCCGAGAGUGAUAGCACUUAGUCCCACAGGGCGACUUUCUUCCAGCGACAGAGCGAUCGGCCCCUCGAACCCACCCCCCUCAGCCGGCUCCGUCUCGCCUCCGUCCUGGCAACCCCCCAGCCCGUCCGCGCCAGGGACUCACGUUUGUAGCUGGCGGCCCAGGGCUGGUAGCCGUAGUAGCCGGUGAUGCGGAGGAUGCGCUCCUCGAUGGAGGUGAGCCCCACGGACGCGCUGGUGAGGUCCUCCACGGAGCGGGACCACUUCAAGUCCUCUUUGAUGGCCUCGUCCACCACCAGGUACUUGAGCUGCCGCAGCUGCGGGCUGAUAUCGGACAGCCGCCGGGGGCUGACAUCGGGGGAGCGUCGCAUGCCGCUGCGGGUCGGAAGCGGGGCGUCAGCCCGGGGCCGCGGCUCCGGUGCCGCCGGUCCCCGCCGACCCCGGGCGAAGUUGGCGGCGGGCGGCGGGACCCCCGCCGGCAGUAGCUUGCCAGAUGUUUCUCUGGGAUGGAAGUUUACAUUUAUCAAAAUACGACUCACUUCAUGAGGAAGGAAGGUGCAGCAGAGAAAACACGUGAUGAACUCUUCCACAGCCUCUAUUCUCUGUCCCUCUGUGCUGCUCAUGAGGAAGGAGGUAGAGAAAAUCGGGAGUAAAGUUAAGACUAGGAAUAAGGCAGUGGUGAGGAUCUGUGCAAUGAAAUUAGGAAGAACAAAGGAAACCAUAAUGCUUUACACAGCAUAAGCCAUGACACUACAGAUCCACCUUUUUGGUAUUUGAACCCAAGUACAUAACAACUGAAAACUUAUGAAGACUGAAGACCGGUUGAAAACUGAUAUGAAGGCUGAAGCCUACAGUAUCUAUCUGUUUCUUCACAUGAUUUGAGUAUGUUCCAAGACUUUGGAUUUUCCAGCUUCAGCAUCUUUUGUGUUGGAGUCCAUAAAAUAGGCUGAAGAACUGUAUUUGUUCUCAGCAGUUUUGUUGAACUGGAAUACAUGUGAAAGUUUCUUAUCUCCUAAAACAAAGGUAAUGUAGAAGGUGUAUGUUAUUUUUCUGUAUGUAAGAAACAUCACUAUACCUAUAUUUUGAUAAUAAAAUAAGGUGGGCAAGUGGAGGGACACAUUCUCAAUGACUAUUCAAAGUAUGGUAUUCAUACUGAUAUGAAUAGAAACCUUAAGUACCAGUGAAAUCCUGGGAAAUAGACAGGUUUCUUCCUGAGAAAAUAAUCGAUUUUCAUUUGAAGAUCUUACUGGCUCUUACUAGUGUUCUUAAGAGUAUUUAAGUAUUUAUUGUUCAAUAUACAUGAUCUCUAUGUUAUCUGUCAACUUCUCCUUGAGGCUUGAAAUAAAACCAAUGCUUUCAGCAUUUCUUUUCUACAGGUCCAUUUGCAACUUUGUGAAAAGUUAUGGUGUGUUUUUUUUCUCUCAAGACUAUCCCAGCUGAGUUUUGGGUCAAGCAGACUCUUUGGAAGGGUAUCCCAGCUGCUUUUCAAAUAGUGAACAUCCCAGCCCACUUUCUCCUGAAAUCUGUUAGGAUCUAGCUUUGAAUCUGGCUCUAACUGAAUACUCAUCAGCCUCUGAGGGAGUAGUAAGCUAACCUAUUCCAUCUCUUUUAUGGUAUUAGAAAGCAAAACGCCGGAGUUUUUCAGCUGUGAAGAAAAGCAGUUCCAAAGUAUACGGUCAGGUCAAGGGUUUCAAACUGCCAACAUCACAUGCAAAAUAAAGGACUAUGUUGCCUUUCUAUUAAUGGUGUCAUUUUAAUGUAACUCUUCCUUAUCACGAGUUUUUUCAUGAAAACAGCCAUUUAUUCAAAUAGCAUUAUCUGAGGGAGGAUGAAGUUAAAGAGUUGUGACAGAGUGAAGUAAAAAAAAAAUUUAGAAGUCACAUUAUCAAAAGGAGUCUUCUCUGACUCAUUCAGU